rnacentral:tRNA from 1 species
AGGGGCAUCGUUCAACGGUAGGACAACGGAUUCUGACUCCGUCAAUGUUGGUUCGAUUCCGACUGCCCCCG